CUUCCAUUUGUAUGUUGACAUUCAUACAUAUGUUUACAUUUGUGUUUACUGAGCUAUUGGUGCAAAUGGAGCAUUUAUUCACGACUAUUUAUUGUGGCUGUAUCAUUGCAAGACCAUGGUGAAUCAUACAAAGCACCGGUUCGACUCGCUGCUUAUCUAAAAGACGAACAAAGGUCCACAAGAAAUGGCAAUAAUUUUAGCUGGUUGUGGUUUAUAUACUGCUGCGUUGAAGCUACUUACUGGUUUUGGAUUUUCAUCUCUUCCCAUAGGGAUACGACGCAUUACCAAGGAAAGCGCCAAUGAAGCAUGAGCGUGGUCACAAGGAAAUGAAAUGGCUGGAGAGAAAAAGUAAUUUCUAUACAAACAUUUUCUUUGCUAUAGGAUUUUUUCUAUAAUUUAGAUUUGCCUCAUCGCAGUAAAGCAACCAAUAUAGCCCGGUCACUGUUGCAAAAACUCAUUUAUGAUUAUGAGUUAGGAAAUCCUACUAGCGUACGUAUGUACAUAAAUAUAUAGCAAACAAGAUGCUAAGUCUCAACGCUUUUAUGCCGCAAUGGCUAUAUAAUGACUACAAGUUGGCGAAUUGUCCAAAGGUAUUACCACAUGCGCUGUUGGAAGCUAGAAGCGAAUAUUUUAGUUUUAAACAUACAAUUGCGAUUUUAAACCAAGAAAUUUCGUCUGCCAAGAAAUACAUUAGAUAUUUUGUUGCAUGGAUUGAAAUUGAAUGCUAAUUCAGAUAUUUUGAGAGAAAGAUUUUGCGUAAGAUUUUUGGACCUUUGCACGUUGGCAACGACGAAUAUCGCAGGCGAUGGAACGAUGAGCUUUACGACGGCAUAGACAUAGCGCAGCGAAUACGUUGGUUGGGUCAUGUCGUCCGAAUGGAUACAAACGCCCCGGCUCUGAAAGUAUUCUAUGCGGUACCAGCUGGUGGUAGUAGAGGAAGGCCUCCUCUACGUUGGAAAGAUCAGGUGGAGAAGGACUUGGCUUCACUUGGUGUGUCCAAUUGGCGCUGGUUAGCAAGAGAAAGAAACGACUGGCGCGCUUUGUUAAACUCGGCCAAAAUCGCGUAAGCGCCAAUUAAGAAGAAGAAGAAUUUAUUUUUGAAUCAAUUUUUCAAAGUUCGACAACUUCUGUUCUAAAUACAGGCUAUUAAC